rnacentral:rRNA from 1 species
ACAAUGGGGGCAACCCUGAUCCAGCCAUGCCGCGUGUGUGAAGAAGGCCUUUUGGUUGUAAAGCACUUUAAGCAGGGAGGAGAGGCUAAUGGUUAAUACCCAUUAGAUUAGACGUUACCUGCAGAAUAAGCACCGGCUAACUCUGUGCCAGCAGCCGCGGUAAUACAGAGGGUGCGAGCGUUAAUCGGAAUUACUGGGCGUAAAGCGAGUGUAGGUGGCUCAUUAAGUCACAUGUGAAAUCCCCGGGCUUAACCUGGGAACUGCAUGUGAUACUGGUGGUGCUAGAAUAUGUGAGAGGGA